rnacentral:lncRNA from 1 species
AUGCAGAAAGGCGUUGGUUCGCAGCGAUCCAGUCCUUCCUAUGACCCCAAGGCUAUGAAUGUAGCCCUCGCAACAAUCUCCACGCCGAGUAUCUGGCUUCUUCUUCCGCGACUGCUUCCGGGUCACAAGUCGCUGAACUUCCUUGAUCGAAGGCGGUCCUAUCUGCCUCGCUGCUUGUGCCAGACCCUUGGGCUAAUACACCCCGGUUCAAGCCCGGCGGGUCCACCUGUACGGUUUGGGCGGUUCCUGUGUGCGAGCGUUCGUGCUACUCGGCUCUGGCUCCUUAGUGGGGGCGGUAGAAGGUCAAGCCGUUAUCUGGGAACCUGCGUUAAACACGUGAACCCCGGACCGACUCCAGGCAGGCAGACCUUAUUCCUGAAAGCAUGGAGUUGGAAGACAGGGUGGCUGAUGGGUUUCUAUUUCUUACAUUUCCACUGGGCACAGCCACUAGUGGACAGAAUUCAUUGGAGUAAUUCCAGCUACGGGACCUAG